GACGAACGCUGGCGGCGUGCUUAACACAUGCAAGUCGAACGGAAAGGCCCUGCUUUUGUGGGGUGCUCGAGUGGCGAACGGGUGAGUAACACGUGAGUAACCUGCCCUUGACUUUGGGAUAACUUCAGGAAACUGGGGCUAAUACCGGAUAGGAGCUCCUGCUGCAUGGUGGGGGUUGGAAAGUUUCGGCGGUUGGGGAUGGACUCGCGGCUUAUCAGCUUGUUGGUGGGGUAGUGGCUUACCAAGGCUUUGACGGGUAGCCGGCCUGAGAGGGUGACCGGCCACAUUGGGACUGAGAUACGGCCCAGACUCCUACGGGAGGCAGCAGUGGGGAAUAUUGCACAAUGGGCGGAAGCCUGAUGCAGCAACGCCGCGUGCGGGAUGACGGCCUUCGGGUUGUAAACCGCUUUCGCCUGUGACGAAGCGUGAGUGACGGUAAUGGGUAAAGAAGCACCGGCUAACUACGUGCCAGCAGCCGCGGUGAUACGUAGGGUGCGAGCGUUGUCCGGACUUAUUGGGCGUAAAGGGCUCGUAGGUGGUUGAUCGCGUCGGAAGUGUAAUCUUGGGGCUUAACCCUGAGCGUGCUUUCGAUACGGGUUGACUUGAGGAAGGUAGGGGAGAAUGGAAUUCCUGGUGGAGCGGUGGAAUGCGCAGAUAUCAGGAGGAACACCAGUGGCGAAGGCGGUUCUCUGGGCCUUUCCUGACGCUGAGGAGCGAAAGCGUGGGGAGCGAACAGGCUUAGAUACCCUGGUAGUCCACGCUGUAAACGGUGGGUACUAGGUGUGGGGUCCAUUCCACGGGUUCCGUGCCGUAGCUAGCGCUUUAAGUACCCCGCCUGGGGAGUACGGCCGCAAGGCUAAAACUCAAAGGAAUUGACGGGGCCCCGCACAAGCGGCGGAGCAUGCGGAUUAAUUCGAUGCAACGCGUAGAACCUUACCUGGGUUUGACAUGGAUCGGGAGUGCUCAGAGAUGGGUGUGCCUCUUUUGGGGUCGGUUCACAGGUGGUGCAUGCCUGUCGUCAGCUCGUGUCGUGAGAUGUUGGGUUAAGUCCCGCAACGAGCGCAACCCUUGUUCACUGUUGCCAGCACGUUAUGGUGGGGACUCAGUGGAGACCGCCGGGGUCAACUCGGAGGAAGGUGGGGAUGACGUCAAGUCAUCAUGCCCCUUAUGUCCAGGGCUUCACGCAUGCUACAAUGGCUGGUACAGAGAGUGGCGAGCCUGUGAGGGUGAGCGAAUCUCGGAAAGCCGGUCUCAGUUCGGAUUGGGGUCUGCAACUCGACCUCAUGAAGUCGGAGUCGCUAGUAAUCGCAGAUCAGCAACGCUGCGGUGAAUACGUUCCCGGG
rnacentral:rRNA from 1 species